GCAUGCUGGGAAGCCCCAUGGCCGGCCCGGCGGCGGGCGCGUGGCGGCUUCCGAGGAGGAAGGUGGCGCCGGUGCCGCGUUGAGCUCUCCGGGAAGUGGCCUUGCCCGCUGGUGUCCCCUGUGGAGCUGUUCCUACACGACAGGACAGCUUGGAUCGUUUACAGCCGGCCUCUCUCCUCCAAAGAGGCGUUUCCUGGUUGGUGGUCGGGGCCUGCGCGACCUGGGCCGCCCCUGCUGGGCCCGAGCUCAGCGCCGCGGGGACGGAGCCCCCGAGGAUGUACUUCCCUUCCCCGGGCGUACUGACCGGCCCCGCGAAGUGCCGAGGCCGUGUUUCCAGUCCCCGUGUUAACGGCGUUGCCUCUCCGACCGGCCCGAGGGAUGCUUGCCUUGAGACCAAGCCUCAGCCCCGCGAGAGUGGAUUAUGGGCGAAGUCCUAGAAACCACACUCGGACCUGACCGCAGCACGCAAAUUGGAACCUAGCUCCGUCAUCUCCAACAACAAAGGGUUUACGCUUUUUCUUCUCUCUUUGAUGUGACUGGCUGGGAUUUGACGCUGCACUAUUUAGAUUCUUGGUCGGAUCUCACACUGGAGGUUUUCCCACAUGAUAAGUGGAAAAAUCUCCUAACUCCCAGGUGAAAUGAUCAUUCCUGUGCAUGUCAUAGGUAACCUGAUCCCGCUAGGCUCAAAAUUGAGGGCAAGGCUUUGUGAUCCUCUCGUGGGAAGGACCGUCCGUAAAUCAAAAGCAAUUGGGAGUUGCCUCAGGAGAUUCACGAAAUAGAAGAGCUGAAGGGAAGGAUUCCAGUUACUCAAAAGAAAAUACUUAAUCGUUGGAAAAAUACUUCUUCGAUAGCCAAGGAAUGUUGUUAUUGUGGAUCAUGUCUAGUGUUCUAGGUCAGAGCAAAUACAGUACAAAAUUCAGAACCCGUUUACGACCAAAAUCAUCACCUGUUAAGGGUGUCAACUUGUGUCAUUUUAAGCUAACGAACAUUUUUAAAUGAAAUUAAGACUUUUGCUUUGGGAAUCACUUCAUAAAGAUAGAGCUACAGACACAGGUACACAUAGAAACACAGUUCUGUGUCGAUCACUUCAAUGUUACCUUUCAAUGCAGAGAAAUAAAUUUUUCUUUUUUCGACUUUAUUGUUUCUACUUGACAAUAUAACUCAUUUCCAUCCUUGUUAUUGACUCUUUUUCCUUAAAACACAAUGGAAAUUAUAUGAGUUUUACCAAAAAAAAAAAGUGUUGAAUAACAUAAAAAUGUGUAAUAUAAAUCAUAACCUCCUUCCACAAUGACUGCUCCCUCCAUCCCCCCAAAAUAACUACCUUUGGAUGCUUGAUGCUUCAUCCUUUAGAUUUUUUUCAUAUAUGCAUACACUAACAUGUAUUAUUAUUUUACAAUAAAGGGACAUUUGAAAAGUUA